AUCCUUGAAAAGACAGCCUUGAACAAAGGGCAGUCAAUAGUUCUACUCAAAAGACAUGGAGAAAUGCAAAAGACCCAUGGAGAUUUGUCUUCUAAUCGGCAGCAUCUUGCAAGGAGAACAAGAAGAUUUAUACUAGCCAUGCAAGGAAUCUUUGGAAGUCUAACAGACCUGACUUGAAGAGAAGGCUUUAAACAAGAAAUUCUUCAUUCUGGAACAGUGAUUCUUAAAGUGCGGUUCAGAGACCCUGGGAGACACUGACAUUCUUUCAGAGUGUGAGUGAGGAUUUCCUCUUUGCAACUACAAUCUGUGUAAGGUUGGAUUUUCUUUACAUACAUAAACUAAAAUAAGAUUGCAAUAAGAUGAAUGCAGAAGCAGAUAAGAGAAUCCAGCUGUCUUAAGUUAGACUUCACAGAGAUUUGCAAAAAUCCAAACAAGACCACUCUCGUCAUUAAAGUUAUUUUCCAUUUGUUAUGGUGAACUUAUUUUGCAGGAAAUUUGUUAUUUAUAGUAACAUACAAUUUUGUUUUUUGAUCAUUUUAAAUAAAUUAAUAAAUAUUAUAAGUUUUCUAUUUUUAAAAUUAUACAUGUCAGAAAAGAACAGUUCUUUCAGGUCCUCAACAAUUUUAAGACUAUUAACUUGUUUUGGAUCAAAAAGUUCUAGAUUUGCUAUUCUAGACAUGAAUCCUUUGAAAUUAAUUGGCUUCAUAAGUAUAUUUUUCAAGUUUGUGGCUUGUCCUGUAACCUUCUACUGUGUAGAAGUUUUAAAUUUUAAUUUAAAGAAAUUUAAAAUUUUUUCAUUUUUGUUUGUGCUUUUGGUGUCAUAUUUAGGAAAUCCUUCUCUACCUUGAGUUCAUGAAAAUAUCCUCUUAUAUUUAGUAUUUACAGUUUGUUCUUCAUCUUUAGGUCUAUAAUUUAUUGAAAAUAUAGUUUUGUAUGUGAUGUAAGCUAAAGAUAUUUUUUAAAACUUGAUAUGGAUAACACAUUUUGGCAAUAUUAUUCAUCCACUCAUUCUCCCACUGACUUUCCCUCUGCCACUUACUUACCUACAUAAGAAUUUGUCGUGGAGAUUCUCUUUUCUAUUCUUUUAGUCUAAUGGCUUAAUUGUUGAUCAAUUACCCUUUUUAACUAUUGAUGCUUUAGAGUAAGUCUUGAUAUAAAGCCAUGUAAGUCCCUUGAAUUAGUCUCCCACUUUUCCUUCUUAAAAACAUUCUGGGAUCUUCUUGGCCUUUAACUCCUCUGACUUAAUUUUAGGAUCAAUUUCUCAGAUUACAUUAACAACCUGUUCAAAUUGCAUAGAUUUUAUAGGUAAAUCUGUAUAAAAUUUACAUGUUAUAAUAUUGGGGCUUUUUAUUCAUAAACAUUUUCACCAACGUUUUAGUUUCAUAUCUUCCAAUAAGAUUUUAUAAUUUUUCAUACCUAUCUUAGAUGAUUUUGGUUGCAUUUAUUUUUUAUAGUUUUAGUUUUAUUGUCAAUGCAGCUUUUUCCAAUUCAAUUUUAUAACAGUUUUGCUGGUUAAAAAAAAAAAAAAGACUAUUUAUUUUGUGUAUUGGUUUUUAAAUUGUACAAUGUUUCUGAAUUUUCUUACUUCCAAACAGUCGUCUAUAAAUUAUCUUGAUUGUCUAAAAUGUGAAAUUCAUAUACUAUGAGAAUGAUAAUUUUAUUUUUUCAUUUUCAAUUCUUAAACUUCUGAUGACACUUGGCUGGAACCUCCUUCACUAGGUUGAAAAUAAGUGGCAACAGUGGUAUCCUUGUUCUGUUAUUGAUUCCAAGAGCCUGCCUCUAAUGUUUCCCCAUGUAUUAUGAUGUUUGUGUAAAUUUUGAUAGACCUUAUUUAUUAAGUAAAAAGAUUCUCUUCUAGUUCAAGUUUGGUCUACAAGUUUUUAUUGUGAAAGUGAACUGAAUUUUAGAAAUACCUUUUAAUGUGUAUAAAAAAUUAUAUCUUUAUUUCUGUUAAUGUGAUAAAUUACAUUAAGAGAUUUUAUUAAUAUUUGGUUAUCUUUGUAUUUCAACAAUUAUUUGGUUAUCUUUGUAUUUCAACAAUUAUAGUCAUAUUAUUAAAUAUUAAUUUGGUUAGCUAA
rnacentral:lncRNA from 10 species